rnacentral:misc_RNA from 1 species
UGGCAAGGAUUUAUAACAAAAAGAGAUUUAUAGGAAAUGGGACGAGAUUCACAUUAAGAGCUGCCUCCAUUGUCAUACAGGGAGUUUUAAAACCGCCAUAAACACUUACCAUAAUCUAUAAAUUAGGACAAAAUUACCGAAAACUUAUCUUUUACUGGCCAAAUAUUUAUCUGUAUCAGAAAAUAUUAUUUCUUGACACCGUACAAUUCCUGCAGCUCCUCCUGAGCACAACCAUCUCUCGCAACCUUUGUUCAUAUUCCAUCUAACUCUAUUCAUUGCAACUAUUUUGGAAGGCAUAACAUCUAUUUCAUUCGCAGCUUCUGUCUUCUCACUGUCUUUCUCCCUUCUGUCUUCUCGUUCAUUUGUGCAUACUAAUGCCAGAUCCUCUACAGCCAUUUUCUUACUGGUAUUUUUGGAUUUUGAUUUAAUUCGGCUUGUGAGAGCUGCCAAUGUUUCAUCAAAUCCAGAUUGUGUACCUGGAUCAUUGCCAUAACAUAGGGCUAAUGGUUGAUUUUCUGCAGCUGGUGUUUCUGCUUUCUUAUCGUUUGCUCUCUUCAUCUGAUUAGACUCGAAUAAACUCCGCAUAGUUCUUGGAUUGUCCCCGACGCUAACUGGCUUCUUCAAAGUUAAAGGAGAAUCCUGUAAUGUAAUGUUUACUGUAAUAGCUGAUUCAUCCUUGCUGAGGGACCCAACCAUAAAAUGUGGAGCUCGAUGUCUUGAUGGCUCUUUCUCUACUGCUUUUGAUGUAAGCUGAAAGCGGCUAACAAUACCAUCUGCACCGCAAUACGCAACCAUGCCUGUUUUUCUUGACACUUGAACGCUCCAGAUAGCGAAGGAUGAAGAAUUAAGAAUAUGCAUUCCUUGUUGUUUAGGCCCAACUGUAGGUUUUUCAUUAACAUGGCCAUCGUAUGCAGCCUUUGUCAAGCUGAGGAGUCUCAUUGUUCCAUCAUCGAAGGAUAAGAUAAUACAUCUUGGAUCUGGCAGCCAAUCCAGACUAUAAAUGAAUUUCGGUGUUGGGUGGAGGUCCCACAAAGGUCGGAAUGGAUCACGUAUGUCCCAAAACUUCAGCCCUCCAUGCCCUGCAGUAACUAUGACAUUUGCACUCUCUUGGGUACUGAAAACAGUUUAAAGAGUACCAUAUUAUACAUCUCAAUAACUAGUACAAUAAAUAGGGGGCAUUUCAUAACAAUUACUUAACCCAAAACCUACAUGUCCUUCGGCCUUUUUACAUAAUAUGACAGAUUACCACAUGAAGAAUCUUAGAAUUGAUUGACACCAUAAUGGAACAAAUUACUCAAGCUAUAUGAGAAGUUAAGGUCUCUACUCUCUAGUGUAUCAUUUUCAACAAAAAUGGAACUGCAGCAUAAGAUCUUCCAAUAUGGCACAAACAGACUGUUAAGUGCAGAUUCUUUGAAAUAACAUCAACAAACCUGCUGCCAGCAUUUUUCAAUUAAAACAAUAUUAGACACACCAAACUCUUGUAGACAAGAGAGGUCCCAUGACCAAGUAGCAGUCUUGCAGAGUGCCAAAUCUAAUCACCAGGAUUACAAAUUUGCAUAAAAAAAAAGGAAAGAAAAAUCAAACAUUAUGACUCAGAAACAAAAAAGAAAAAUAUGUUAUCUGAAACCACUGACCUCUCAACUGGGGCCCAAGCAACUGCUCUAAUAGAAACUGUAUCUGCACUGAAACGCAGCAAAGGCCUUGUGUCUCCGGAUGCACCACAUGCAGAGAACUUCCAUAAAGCAACUGUUCCAUCAUGGCAUCCAGCAAGUAAGUAAUCAUGGGGACAUGAAGUUGACCAUUCCACUGUCAAAGGAAUGCUCUGUAUUUCCCCACACUUGACGAUUGAACAUCUGAAUACUGGCUCCAAUUUUAUGAAGCGAGGAUCAAUACCUUCUCUAUCGGAAGAAGAAAAAAUAAGCUUUAUUAUAUGAGGAAGAGGAACAUCCCAUACUUCUAGUGAUCCAUUUCCCAGCAAGACAGCAAGAUAGCCCAUGCGAUGCUGGAAUUUGGAAUCAGAUGCAUGGCAAGGCUGCCAUUUCAUAUCCCACACCACUUUUCCAUUAUGAGCUAGGCAUAGUACAACUCUUGGCAAUGCAAUAUCCUUGGGAAUAGAACAAGAAUCAGAGUUUUUGUCACAAGAAACAUUAUCUAAACCACAAUUAAGCACUGCAGGACCCAAUACGUGGUUUUCAUGUAUCCUGUGGCUUGUAGCGAAAGAUUGAUCAUCAUCAUUUUGAGUCAAUAAUGGAGGGCAUGCAACAACACCGCAUUUACCAGCUUCACUUGCCUUGAUUUUCUGCCUUCUACUCUGCCUAGUAGUUUCAGGAGCUGAAUUACAAGCAGACAGUGCUUUGGUAGAAGUCUUUCGUUUUCUGCCCUUGUUUCUCUGUAUGGUUUGUUCUUGGGUACUCCCAGAAACCCCUUCUAUAGCAAGUAAUGGAGAUGAAUCUUCUGGAUAUUGAAUAGCGAGCGCUUGAACACAUUGGUUGUUGCAAUCUAAACUAUCAAGGGAUUCAUUUAUUUCCUUCUUUCCGGGUCGUCCUCUUGGCCUUUUAAAUUGAGUUGAAUUCUCCUUUCUGGCUUCAUCACUGGGAGAUUUUUCUAUUUGCUGCUUUCUCGGUCUACCUCUUGGCCUCUUGAAUUGAAAAGAGUUCUCUGCUGUGUCUUUGCCAAUGGGGGAUUCUUCUAUUUGCUUCUUCCUAGGUCUUCCCUUUGGCCUCUUUACUAGACCAGAUUUAUCACCCAUGGAAUCACUACUGUGCAUUCCCCGUUUUGGCUUUUUUAGUGGAGGUGGUUCCUCCUCAUCCCCACUGACGUUUAGAAUGCACCAUAUCUGAACAAGACCUCUGCCCAUAAGCAAAGUGCCUAUCUUGUGAUAACAAGAGUCAGGAGGAUGGGCAGCAACAGCAACAAACUCGCAUUUGAUACGACAGGCAGACCUUUCAUGAAACCUAGGACACCAAUCCAAUGCCCAAACAGAACCUCCAACAUACAUCACAAAGUCUUUGCUGGAUUCUGGAGAUGCAGUGUCCCCAUGUAGUCCCUCAUUCUCGAGCACUUUUGGAACGGUUGCUGAUGAAAACUGGGGUAAAUUUGUGUCACCAAGAAAACAUUUUUCCUGUGAAUUUUUCAUUUCACAAGCAAACCUAACAACUCUUGGUUGGUAAUUAAAAUGGCUCCAUUCUCUCAGGAAAGUGAUUGAAGAGGACAAGCGCUGAAUUUCAUCUUCUUGUAGAAAAUCAGUCUCUGCCUCACCACAUAGCUUAGAAAUCGUGUCCAUUGCCUUGAAGUGAUUCUCUACUGAAUAAUCAAACAAUGAGACCUUAAUUCCAGCACCAUUGCCUCCUAAUAAUUCUUCUUCUUCCAUUUUCCAUAAAAUUUGCUUGAAUGGGAAACUAAGUCAGACUAAAGAGCCAAAAACCAUAGACUAGCAUAGAUGAGGGUGCAAAAGGGCAAUGAAGAGAGGGAAGGAUUAGAUAUUUGCCAACAGGAAGCAGCUUGACAGGGAAGCGCCAAUGACGUAGAGCCGUGGAGGGAGGGAGGGAAGCGACACAGAGGAGAAUAAUAUUGCCGAGCAUCAGCGGAAAUUGCUUUGUAUUUGAAUUAAAAAACGAUAAUGUGAUAAGAGGGAAACUCGAACUCUUGUAUGUGGAGAAAAAAUGUUUUUCUUCAUUCGCUAAAUACAGGGUCCUGAGACUCGAACCCUAGACCGGGAACGCAUAUAUCGUUAAAAAAUGGUAAAUGACUAUGAGGUCCCUAUUUUUUAUGUUAUAGCUCAUGUACAUACAAUUAGUUUGAUGACGCGAUGAAGCGCAAGGCGCACCGGGCGGUGAGGGUGGCGCCUGAAACCACCAAAGGCGGGCGACCUCACUCAGGCGCAGCAAGGCCCCAGGCCGCCAAGGCGAGUUGAGGGAACAAAUUAAAACAGGGGCAUGUUCUUUUACCCUUUCCUGCACCGCAAGAGCUAGUCACGCAGCCCCGAAAGAAGAAGAAGAAGAAGAAGA